GCGCCUGUAGCUCAGCUGGAUAGAGCGUCGGCCUCCGAAGCCGAAGGUCGCAGGUUCGAGUCCUGCCGGGCGCA
rnacentral:tRNA from 2 species